CAGGUUCGUCGUAAAGUCGACACGCACCAUUAUAUGUGAAUGCUAGUGUCGGUCUUCUAAUGUAAGUGUACUCGUUCGAAUAAUGUUCAGACCGGUUGUAGCUUCGCAUCAAGCUGGUUAAAUAUAUUUAAGUUUAAAUAUUCGAUUUCAUUUUGUUUGAAGGACCUUAAGAAAAUCAACAAGUCUAGAGUGGAAUUAUCAAAUAAUGCAAUACAUGCCAGGAAAGUACCUUUGUCCAACCAAGAUACAUAUACAGAAUGAAGCAGUAACAAUUUAUCAUUGACCUUGUGGAAAUGAAUAUUUUAAUUUCGAUUAAA